rnacentral:rRNA from 1 species
AGGGAAAGGCGAAAAGAACCCCGGCGAGGGGAGUGAAAAAGAACCUGAAACCGUGUACGUACAAGCAGUAGGAGCCCCACCACCAAAGCGUUUCGCUUUGCGUGGUGCGCAAAAUGCGUAACGACAGCAUGAUGGACGGUUAACAGAGCGUCAGCGACGUUCAACCUCAAAAAUCAGGCAGUGGAGCGUUUUGGGGUGGGGUGACUGCGUACCUUUUGUAUAAUGGGUCAGCGACUUAUAUUCUGUAGCAAGGUUAACCGUAUAGGGGAGCCGCA